rnacentral:lncRNA from 12 species
UAAUGGUCAAGAGCUUCCUAGAAGUGUGAGAUGGCUUGUCACUGCACUUAUAUGGGAAUACCUAACGGAAACUGUUUAUAAGCACAAUGGUCCACCUGGAUAGUACAGGGACACACGUUUCUUCUCAGUUGUACAGACCUGCCAGCUCCUGCUCGGGAUGUGGAAUGCCCUUCUUGGAGGGCAGGAUACCCUUUUAGGACAGAAAGGGCUUCAAUUAAAAAUUUCUACACCAUUUUCCUCCAUGAUCAAGGAAUUGUGUGACUUCAGGGAUGGAAACAUUAGUCAGCAUUUCACAAGAUUAGAUUUCCGGGCUGAAGAUCAGAAGCUGCAAUAAAUCAAUAUCUGAAUUUGCAAGUCAG